rnacentral:tRNA from 1 species
GGGUAUAGCUCAGACAGUAGAGUGUCUGCCUAGUAUGCCCAAGGUCCUGGGUUCAAUCCCCAGUACUUCCA